rnacentral:rRNA from 1 species
CGGGACGGGGUGGAGUAAUGUCUGGGGAAACUGCCUGAUGGAGGGGGGUAACUACUGGAAACGGUAGCUAAUACCGCAUAACGUCGCAAGACCAAAGAGGGGGACCUCGGGCCUCUUGCCAUCGGAUGUGCCCAGAUGGGAUUAGCUAGUAGGUGGGGUAACGGCUCACCUAGGCGACGAUCCCUAGCUGGUCUGAGAGGAUGACCAGCCACACUGGAACUGAGACACGGUCCAG